rnacentral:lncRNA from 1 species
CCCCGCGCUCCUCCGGGCAGAGCGCGUGUGGCGGCCGAGCACAUGGGCCCGCGGGCCGGGCGGGCUCGGGGCGGCCGGGACGAGGAGGGGCGACGACGAGCUGCGAGCAAAGAUGUGCCCCGGGACCCCCGGCACCUUCCAGUGGAUUUCCUUGCGGAAAGGAUGUUGGCGGUCCCUGUGACCUGUGGAGACACGGCCAGAUCUGCCCUCCAGCCUGAUCUUUUGGCCAGAAGGAGAUUAAAAAGAUGCCCCUCAAGAUGGCUGUGCCUGUCAGCUGCAUGGAGCUUCGUUCAAGUAUUUUCUGAGCCUGAUGGAUUUACAGUGAUCUUCAGUGGUCUGGGGAAUAACGCUGGUGGAACCAUGCACUGGAAUGACACACGCCCGGCACAUUUCAGGAUACUAAAAGUGGUUUUAAGGGAGGCUGUGGCUGAAUGCCUCAUGGAUUCUUACAGCUUGGAUGUCCAUGGGGGACGAAGGACUGCAGCUGGCUGAGAGGGUUGAGAUCUCUGUUUACUUAGAUCUCUGCCAACUUCCUUUGGGUCUCCCUAUGGAAUGUAAGACCCCGACUCUUCCUGGUGAAGCAUCUGAUGCACGUUCCAUCCGGCGCUCAGCUGGGCUUGAGCUGACCAUACUCCCUGGAGCCUUCUCCCGAGGUGCGCGGGUGACCUUGGCACAUACAGCCAUCAUGAUGGUACUUUAAGUGGAGGCUGAAUCAUCUCCCCUUUGAGCUGCUUGGCACGUGGCUCCCUUGGUGUUCCCCUUUUACUGCCAGGACACUGAGAUUUGGAGAGAAUCCUGUUACACCUGGGAUUUAGGCACUUUCAAUCUGAAAAAAUACAUAUCCUUUCAGCACUCUGGACGGACUUGAGAACUGUCCUUACGUGACCUAAAGCUGGAGUAUUUUGAGAUUGGAGAAUUAAGGCCAACAGAGAUUUUGAGAAACACAUUGAAGGAUCUGUUAACACUUGAUAUACCCAAUAAAAGCAGUGGUUGUGCCAGUGCUGAUCUGUCUUGAUGUGAAUGUGAACAAUGGGAACCUGAGCUGAGCAGUUAAUGCUAGGGUGACAGAAACUGGACCUCUCCCAAGACAUGUGACAGAGUAAUACAGCAGCCAACUUCUUCGCCAAAUUAAAGUUUUACAAGAUUUAACCUGUCAUCAAGACCUGGGAUUUUGGUGAGCCAGUCUUGGUGCUCUGUGUUCACCUGGUUCAUCUGAGGAGCUGCAUCUACCCUGCCCAUGCCAUAGAUCCUGCCCUGUUUGCUUCUCCUGUUGCUGCUAGUGGACAUGAGAAGGACAGAAUAACGGGCUCCCAGAUUCACAAGCCCCACCAAGAGGAUCACCCCAGGAACGCUUGGAGGCUGAGGAGUUCACUGAGGCUACUGCAUCUUGAGACUCAGGAUGAAGACCCAGCUUGGGGCUGUCAAAGGUUUUUUGCAUGUCUGACACCCAUGACUCCACCUGGACCUUAUGGCUCCACCCAGAAGCAAUUCAGCCCAACAGGAGGACAGCUUCAACCCAUUACGAUUUCAUCUCUG